AGAGUUUGAUCAUGGCUCAGGAUGAACGCUGGCGGCGUGCUUAAUACAUGCAAGUCGAGCAAGGACCACCCGGUGGCAACACCGGGUGACUCCUAGCGGCGAACGGGUGAGUAACACGUGGGCAACCUGCCCCCGACUCUGGGAUAAGCCCGGGAAACUGGGUCUAAUACCGGAUACGAGCCUCCUCCGCAUGGUGGAGGUUGGAAAGGGUCUCCGGUCGGGGAUGGGCCCGCGGCCUAUCAGCUUGUUGGUGGGGUAACGGCCCACCAAGGCGACGACGGGUAGCCGGCCUGAGAGGGUGAACGGCCACACUGGGACUGAGACACGGCCCAGACUCCUACGGGAGGCAGCAGUAGGGAAUCUUGCGCAAUGGGCGAAAGCCUGACGCAGCGACGCCGCGUGCGGGACGAAGGCCCUCGGGUUGUAAACCGCUUUCAGCAGGGACGAAGCGAAAGUGACGGUACCUGCAGAAGAAGGUCCGGCCAACUACGUGCCAGCAGCGGCGGUAAUUC
rnacentral:rRNA from 1 species